AGUAUGAAUUUAUUGUUUGAUGUCUGAUGUGCACUGUACGGUUACAUUCACAUCUAUACACUAUGCGCUACAAUUGCCUUUAAGUAUUAUUGUAACAAGUGUCACCUGGCAGUUUGUUGCUCUCUGCCAGGUGAUUGGCUGAAAGAGCUGUGAAAAGGUAGUGGGUGUGUGGGGUGAAAUCAGCGCACUUCUGUGGAAGAAACCAGAGGCAAUUAAUUCACUCGGGUGCGAGUGGGUAUAUUGUCGUGUGACCACCAAUUUUAACAGAAGAAUUGAUCAAGCCCUAGAUCGACUGCGCGCAGGGAAACUGAUCAAUAUUCGGUGCUGUCUCUGCUGUCCUUUUUUUCGUUCUUUUGAUUGAUUUGUAAUUUUCUUUUGGUUAGUCCGUCCAGCCGUAAAGGCGGUCAUUGAUUGAGAGUGAGUCGUGUAAGGGCGGACUAACCUCCCUUUUUUGUUUUCUUGUUUAAUUGUUUGUGCCACUUCCCUUUGUCUCCCAGAUUGCAGGCCAUGCAUAUCGCUGAUUCCCAGCUGCGCUGAGACCUGAAUUGUUUGCAGUGCGUGUCACGGUUGCAGUGUCGCUAAGCGGGGUGUGACGGGGUUGCAGUGUAGUCAUAUUCGCACCGUUAGUGUGGUAAGUCUCAUGUGCAGCUGGGAUAUCGGCAGGAUCUGCUAUAAGUCCUGUCUGGAAAUAAGGGGAAUUUGUAUGUUUAAUUAAUGUAAUAAAUAAAUGAUCAAUUUAUUUCUUUGUCCCGUUCACUCGUACCUUGUCCUCGGUUACAUUAUGAUGUCUUAUGUUCACGACUUUUUCACGAGUCAACUUCGUAGCCAACUUGGGUGGGAGGAGGUAUGAGCACACAUGGCUUGUAGCUUUGGCAGAGCGAGCUCCUGUGAACUCACUGACAUGUUUACUCGUCAUAGCCUUAAAGUCACUAUUACCCAUACUUCCGUUUUGUAUGCUUAUUAUUCAAUUUCCGAAUGUUAUUAUGCCUUGACGGUAUGAUUUAACCCGGUGUUAAGAGCUGUUCUCUAAUCGCGGAUAUGCUUGUUAGCAAUAAUUAGCCACCAUGCUAAACGCAUCUUACCAGACGAGUGAGUUAGUUAUUGUUUCGGUAAGAGAAGGAUGUGCUUUCCCUUAAGGUAUGUUUAAUUUACAGCAAGCUGUUAUUUAUUUUGUGCAUUUGAAUCAGCGCACUGUGGUGUUGCUUAACGUGAAUGAGCGCACAUGGCCUGUAGCUUUGGCACAUCAAGCUUGAGUAACCCCACUGUGAAUUUUUUGCACGUGAUCCUCCAUUCUAGUGAGUGGACGUUGCUUUCGGGAUUGUCCUGGUGCUAGUGAUGGCCCGCGUGAAGCUGACGCUCCGGAGCGUGUGUCGAAAAAAACAACACACUGGUUCAGAAGCACUGUGUCGAGGCUUGCUUCGUUUGGCAAAAGUCACGUGACCAGUGACAUCCGAAGCUUCAUUACGCACGUAACUGCUUCGGUACCGGUAUGUGUAUAUAUGUAUGUGUAUAUAUAGUGGAAUGAUCACCUCUGCGCUAUCUGUAGAGGCAUGCGCCAUAAUGUUUUGUAUGUUAUAUGUAUUUUGCAUCUAUUGUACUAUGUAUGACUGUGCAAUGACAAUAAAGAAUUAUCUUAUCUUAUCUUCUUAUCUUAUUUUAUUUACCAACAUCAAGAAGUGACAGGCAAAGAAAUACCACA